rnacentral:rRNA from 1 species
GUGUCAGCAGCCGCGGUAAUACGGAGGAUCCAAGCGUUAUCCGGAAUCAUUGGGUUUAAAGGGUCCGUAGGCGGUUUUUUAAGUCAGAGGUGAAAUCCUGCAGCUCAACUGUAGCAUUGCCUUUGAUACUGAAAGACUUGAGUUAUUGUGAAGUAGUUAGAAUGUGUAGUGUAGCGGUGAAAUGCAUAGAUAUUACACAGAAUACCGAUUGCGAAGGCAGAUUACUAACAAUAUACUGACGCUGAGGGACGAAAGCGUGGGUAGCGAACAGGAUUAGAUACCCUGGUAGUCCACGCCGUAAACGAUGGAUACUAGCUGUUCGACCAACAUUGGUUGGUUGAGUGGCUAAGCGAAAGUGAUAAGUAUCCCACCUGGGGAGUACGCUCGCAAGAGUGAAACUUAAAUGAAUUGACGGGG